AACGCACAUUGCGCCCCUUGGUAUUCCGAGGGGCAUGCCCGUUCGAGCGUCAUCAACACCAUCAAGCCUGGCUUGGUAUUGGGCCUUGCCUGUAACACGGCCGGCUUUAAAAUCAGUGGCGGUGCCGCCUGGCUCUAAGCGUAGUAACUUUUCUCGCUAUUGUGCCCGGCGGUUGCUUGCCAACAACCCCUAAUUUAAUAGAUUUGACCUCGGAUCGGGUAGGGAUACCCGCUGAACUUAA
rnacentral:misc_RNA from 2 species